GAAAGAAAGAGGGAGAAUGAGAGAGAGAGAGAGAGAGAAAGAUAGAGAGAAGUAACUAGGGUUUAUAUACCACCCCUAUGGCUUUGAAUGGCCCUGCUUAUAAUCAACUUUUGCACUAGUAUUCUAGUACAAUCCUUAUGAGAGAAUUAGCCUUUCCUCUUGGAGUAAAAAUAGUUUCAUUGGGUAACUGUAAGGCACGAAGUAUUAGAGGAAAUGCUUAUACACAUAGGUUAUGUUUAUACUUGAAAUUUGUUAAAAACCUUCAACAUGAUCCGUCCAAAAGGUUAUUGACUAUAUAUAUGUACAUAUAACAGGUGCAAUGAGAAAGAAAUUUUCAGCAAGGUUGUUUUCCUUAACUUGUACCUGCGUCCAGACUCUAUGGCCCGAAUUCACAAAGGCGGUUUGUAGACGAACCUAGGAUUAUGUGCGUCAUAUGAGGCGUUUCAAUGCGUUUCAGACCAAGGUUCAGACAAAGCUUGGUCCGAAACGUGUCAAAACGUGUCAUAUGAUGCACAUAACCCUAGGUCCUUCUUUGUGAAUUCGGGCCUAUGUGUAUAAAACUGCCUGUUACUGCCGUUAUAUAACUCCUUUUUUCCCUUCGUUCUUUUCUCCAUUAUUUCAUCAAGUAGACAUUGUUUUCAUUUUCAAUUCUUCUGUCCAUCAUUACAGUCAAAAGGGGAAAGCUGGUGGAAAGAAAGGAGGGGUCCAGAAGAUGAAGGAAAGGAAAGCAGAAGGAGAGAAAUCAGGGAAGAGCAAGCUUA